GUCCAGGGUAGCCUAGUGGACAUGGCAUCUGCCUGGUAAGCGGAACACUGAGGGUUCCCAUCCCUGAACA